rnacentral:rRNA from 1 species
UACAGAGGGGGCAAGCGUUGUUCGGAAUUACUGGGCGUAAAGGGCGCGUAGGCGGCCUUCUAAGUCGAACGUGAAAUCCCCGGGCUCAACCCGGGAACUGCGUCCGAUACUGGAAGGCUUGAAUCCGGGAGAGGGAUGCGGAAUUCCAGGUGUAGCGGUGAAAUGCGCAGAUAUCUGGAGGAACACCGGUGGCGAAGGCGGCAUCCUGGACCGGUAUUGACGCUGAGGCGCGAAAGCCAGGGGAGCAAACGGG